rnacentral:lncRNA from 1 species
UCUCCAUCCCAACACUGAAUGUGUCCUUCCCAGUGUUGAACUUCUCUAUCCCAAUGUUGAACAUCUCAACACUGAAUAUCUCCAUCCCAUUGCUGAACGUCUCCACCCCACUGCUGAACAUUUCCAUCCCAGUGUUGAAUAUCUCCACCCCAGUGCUGAACAUCGCCAUCCCAGUGCUGCGUAUCUCCAUCCCAACACUGAACAUCUCCACCCCCAGUGCUGAACUUUUCCAUCCCAAUGCUGAACAUCUUCAUCCCAAAUCUGAACAUCUCCAUCCCAGUGCCACACAUCUGCAUCCCAAAGUGGAAUAUCUCCAUCCCAAUGCUGAACAUCUCCAUCCCAGUUCUGAACAUCUCCAUCCCAAUACUGAACAUCUCCAUCCCAGUUCUGAACAUCUCCAUCCCAAUACUGAACAUCUCCAUCCCAUGCUGAACAUCUCCAUCCCAGUGCUGAACAUCUCUAUGCCAACGCUGAAUAUUUCCAUCUCCAUUUUCUGAGAAACACCCUGCAAGAGUCUCAGGAAGGCUGAGGACCUCAUGGUGACACCCAACAAGAAUGGACACUUCCCCCAGAGAUGUUCCCUGUUAGAAACAUAUGCCCAGUGCAGAGCCCUGGGGUAAAGCCAAGGCUGUGAUGCUCCCUGUUUUCCUCCCCGCGCCUGGCAAAGCUGUGCCCUCCAUCGGCCAAACAAUCCUGCCCUGCCCCCGUGCCCUCUGGUUGCAGCAAGGCUGUAGCAAAUCCGAGCAGGGGGACAACACAGUUCAACACAGUGUAAAACAGCAGUCGGAGCACGGCGGUGCAGAGGCAGUGCCCAAAGCAAACACACUGCUGCGAAAAAAACCUUCCCAGCUUAGUGCGCCCUUCUAAAAACACAGAGUGACUUCAGAAAAAUGUGAGAAAACAUGAGCUGCUCACCCCCAGAGGGAAAACAGAGCACAGGAGCCAUAGGAUGGAGCCUGCUGCCUGCAGCCGUGUCCCCAUGGCAGAGGAUCCUGGGGCCAUCGCGGUGCCUGGGAAGGGCUGAGCUCCCUUAAAGAGCAGUCGGAUGAUGAAUGUGGAGUUGAAAACCUCUUAGAGAAGGGAUGUGCCACAGCAGCCCGCUUC